rnacentral:ncRNA from 1 species
AUAAAGUUUAAUUCUAGUUUAAAGAUUUAUUUAAUUUUUUUUUUACAUGUAAAUUUUUGUAGGAUGUUAGUUAAAUUUUAAAAAUUUAAUUAAAAUAAUUUAUUCGCAGUAUUUAAUUUUAAUAAUUUAAGAAAUUAAGAAUUAGAAAUAAAUUUUAAUAUUAACAAAUUUUGUGCCAGCAGUUGCGGUUAUACAAAAGAUAUAAAUGAAUUUUAUUAGUAAAUAAUUAUAUGAAUUAUUAAUAAAUUAAAAUAGUAUUUAUUAGGUGAAAUUUUAAGUAUUAAAUUAAUUUAUAAAAAAGUUUUUAUUAUUAUGAAAUUUAUAUUUAAACUAGGAUUAGAUACCCUAUUAUUUUAAAUGUAAAAAGUUUUACUUAAGUAGUAUUAGUUAUGUUCUUGAAAUUUAAAGAUUUUGGCGGUAUUUUAGUCUAUUUAGAGGAACCUGUUCUGUAAUUGAUAAUCCACGAUUAACUUUACUUAUUUUAUAAAUUUGUAUACCGUCGUUAUUAGAAAAUUUUAGCAGAAAAUAAAUUUUUAAUAUUUUAAAUUAAAAAAUAUAUCAGAUCAAGGUGCAGUAUAUAUCUAAGAAGAAAUGGGUUACAAUAAAUUUAUUUAUACGGAUUAAAGUAAGAAUAAACUUUAUGAAGGUGGAUUUAAUGGUAAUAAAAUUUAAUUAAAUUUUAUGAUUUUAGCUCUAAAAUAUGUACAUAUCGCCCGUCGCUCUUAUUAUAAGGUAAGAUAAGUCGUAACAUAGUAGAUGUACUGGAAAGUGUAUCUAGAAUGAA